rnacentral:rRNA from 1 species
UGGGGAAUUUUGGACAAUGGGCGAAAGCCUGAUCCAGCAAUGCCGCGUGUGUGAAGAAGGCCUUCGGGUUGUAAAGCACUUUUGUCCGGAAAGAAAUCCUUGGCUCUAAUACAGUCGGGGGAUGACGGUACCGGAAGAAUAAGCACCGGCUAACUACGUGCCAGCAGCCGCGGUAAUACGUAGGGUGCAAGCGUUAAUCGGAAUUACUGGGCGUAAAGCGUGCGCAGGCGGCUUGCUAAGACCGAUGUGAAAUCCCCGGGCUCAACCUGGGAACUGCAUUGGUGACUGGCAGGCUAGAGUAUGGCAGAGGGGGGUAGAAUUCCACGUGUAGCAGUGAAAUGCGUAGAGAUGUGGAGGAAUACCGAUGGCGAAGGCAGCCCCCUGGGCCAAUACUGACGCUCAUGCACGAAAGCGUGGGGAGCAAACAGGAUUAGAUACCCUGGUAGUCCACGCCCUAAACGAUGUCAACUAGUUGUUGGGGAUUCAUUCCUUAGUAACGUAGCUAACGCGUGAAGUUGACCGCCUGGGGAGUACGGUCGCAAGAUU